CAGCACUGGUUGUCUUAAAGCAAAAAGAAAAGGAAAUUUGGGAGAUGCCCUGAACCUACCGGAAGGCUGGAGAACUGCCCUUGGUCAAAGUACAGGAAGCUACAGCGUGGUUCUUGGCAUUCAGGCUGCACAGUCAGGAGGCACAUGACAGCGAAGGAAACCAGAGAGCUGCGGGGAAAACAAGUGGCCACGAGCCAGCAAAUGCAAACCACACUUCCCCCAGGCAGGAAAAGUGUUGCAGCAGGAACUGUGAAUUGUCACUAGAUGCCUCUUCCCCAACUUUGCAUCCUCAAUGCUCCACACGUACCUAGUAGGUGCUCAGCUAGUACCUGUCAGGUAGGUGAGUCAUGGGACAGGGUCUAAGGAGGUCCCCAAAGGGAAGAUGGGGAAGCUCGGCCCGUAUCUUCCACAGGGAAG
rnacentral:lncRNA from 1 species